AUCCAACUUUCAAACACAACUUCCUUACAGUGUGGAAAGGGAUAGGGAUUUCGAUGAUUUUAAUAAUCUCACACGCUAAUAAAAUCAAUUGCUUACUCGUACACACAAACACACCUACCAGAAGACCAUCAAUACAAGGAAACCCAAAAGCCAAAAACGGAGAGUUGUUCAAAAAAAGCCCGUAUUUCUUCAGCAAUGGCUCAGGUCUCAAUCUCCUUAAAUAAUUUCCUCGACGACUGCGAAGAAGACGACGUUAUCGAACACCAAAACGCUGUCGUACAAGACCUCGACUCUUCUUCUCCUUACUGGCCUCACGAUUUCCAUAACUUCGACGGCCCAGAUCUCUUCGAUUCCUCUCGCCGCCGCCAAAUCUCUUCGGCUUCUCGGCAGAGAACCAAUUUUGCCGUAAACGACGACGACGUUUCAGAACCUGAUUCCGUGGAUCUUUUGGACCGCGAGAACCAAGUUAACUUUGUUAUGGACAUGUUCCAGCAACGCGUUGAACAAUCUCAAUCUUCGACACGUGUCGUUUUGGGCCCUGAUUUGCUCCGUGCCGAGCCCGAAUUCGGCGUGGUUGAAGAGAAUGAGUUUAUGGGCUUGAGUAGCUUAGACCUAGAUUUUGGGCUAGGGUUAGGUAACGAUAAUUCUGGGUUUCAUGUUGAAGAUUGUGAUGUCCCAGAGCAGUUUGUUAGUGGGUUGAGGAUUGUGGAUAUUGAAUCUGACUCGGAUCCUGAUGAGAACUGCGUUGUGGGCAGAUUAUUCAAUGUGAAUGAAGCUGAUGGCGAUGACGAAGAGGAGAAUAUUCGUGGUAAUGAGAGUGAUGAUGACCCGAGCGUUAGGCUGUGUUGGGAUUCGUUCCAAUUGGAGGAUCAUAGGGAUGUGAAUAAUGAGGACUUUGAGUGGGAAGAAAUUGAUGGAAGAGUUGAUGAAAGAGAGAUUCUAAGCAUGUUUUUAGACGAUGACGAGGAAAUAACUGAAUCUGCUGUUGCUCGAGAGGAGGAAAGAGCUACGGAGUUGGAAAAUUUGGAGUGGGAGUUUCUGUUGAAUGUUCAUAAUUUGGAGCCUGACCCGGAAAUUGGAAAUGGGGGGUUUGAUUUUGGUCGUCAUAUUGAUCAAGACGAUUACAAUUACACUGCUGAGUAUGAGCUGUUGUUUGGACAGUUUGCAGAGGGGGAGAAUGGUUUAGUUGGUGGAAGACCACCAGCUUCGAAGACGGUUGUUAGAGACCUUCCAACUGUGGCUGUGAGUAAAGAGGAUUUGGAUAAGAACGGUGCUACUUGUGCUAUCUGCAAGGAUGAGAUGAAUUUGGGAGAAAAAGCUAGACAGUUACCAUGUGCUCAUAGGUAUCAUGGUGACUGUAUUCUGCCUUGGCUUGGGAUUAGGAACACCUGUCCAGUUUGUCGACACGAGUUGCCCACUGAUGAUCCUGACUAUGAGCGGAGGAAAACGUUCCAGACACAGACACAGAGCAUUGAUCAACUUGAGCUUUGGAACAGGAGCGUUGAGCAACUUGAAUGGAGGUCUCUUCUUGCUAUGUGAAGUUGGCUCGUUCUUGGAUAUGGCUUCUGAUAGAGUAUUUUAGUUAAGCAUGCAAAAUUAAGGGACACACUUUUGUCGCUUUGAAGUGUCUAUUUGGUCACUUGUUUACUUGGAGUGUCUACUGACAAAUCAUGCCAAGUUUGAGGGGCCAUCUAGCAGGAGACGGUAGGUUUGGUUCAUCAUGUACAGUUUCAGUUGCUUCACAACUUGGCAGGGUAAAAAAUAGAUUUCUCACUGGGCCUGUGAGUGCUUGCAAUCAGCGUGCACCUUCCCCCAAUGGCAUCAGGCAGUGAAUGACUGAAGAGCACUGGUAGAGUGGGUGUAUAGCCAACUAGGGUGAUGGGCAAGUUGGUCAAGGUUGGAGAGAGCUUUACGGAAAUUUGUUUGGAUUACUAAACCUUUGUUCUGGAGCCAUUGGAAACCUUAAUCCCUUCUGGUUGUUUAUAUUCUUAUGAGAGUGAAUUUAUUAAGUUACAGAUCAUGGGGAAAGUUUAAAUGGUGCUUGGUAGCUGUAGGCUAAAACCUGGAGAAGUGCAGAGUUGUCUCGUCCAGAUGUUUUAUAGGGCAUACUGCAAACACAAGUUAUAGUCUUGCCAACUUGUACAUUAUUGUUCUUGAAUUUCUAGUUUGAUGCUGAAAAUUAGUGAUGUUGCAAUGUGUUGCGUCAUACAUAUUCGCAUUGAACACAUUUUUAACUUGGUUGUUUAGCUUGGUUCUCUUUGAAAAGUAUAAAGAUGAACAAACAUAUUAGCUUGGUUC